rnacentral:rRNA from 1 species
CAGCCGCCGCGGGAAUACGGAGGGUGCAAGCGUUAAUCGGAAUUACUGGGCGUAAAGCGUGCGUAGGCGGUUCGUUAAGUCUGUUGUGAAAGCCCCGGGCUCAACCUGGGAAUGGCAAUGGAUACUGGCGAGCCAGAGUGUGUCAGAGGAUGGUGGAAUUCCCGGUGUAGCGGUGAAAUGCGUAGAGAUCGGGAGGAACAUCAGUGGCGAAGGCGGCCAUCUGGGACAACACUGACGCUGAGGCACGAAAGCGUGGGGAGCAAACAGGAUUAGAUACCCCAGUAGUCCCUGUCUCUUAUAC